UCCGAAUCCUUUUCCUAAUACCCUUCUUUAGAUCGGAGUGGGCCCGUUUCGGUUUUCCCCCAAUUGCCGCCGAUCUUUCGCACUGCGAAUUAGGGUUUCGAUUGGGUUUGGACCAUUGUUUGCACUUUGCAGGCGAUUCGUGUGCUUUGGAUGAUGAGAAUUUUAGAAAUGCUCGUAGGGAGGCAGAGCAUUACAGUGUGAGGAUCAGUCAGACGCUGGAGGAGCGCGAGGCGAGGCCCAUUGUCCACUUGAGGAAACUCAACGAUUGGUAUGGUCUGGAUCUUGUGUUUGCAAUAAAAACUCACAUGAAUUUGUUGACGAGUACCUAAAAGAGCCUGAGUGAGCUGAACUUACGUGAAGACUUGGUGCACUAGGCGGUGAAAUCAGGAUCAGAGCACAUAAUCCCUAGAGGAGUGGGAUUUGGCGUUCGUGUUGAGGAAGACAGGCCGGCCAAGUUCAAUUAGGAGGAACAGCAGCACAAACAAAGGAAAAAUGUACAUAAUGGAGGAUGACAUCGAGUUUAUCAGUAUCUGAUGUGAAUCUUAAGUUCCACCUUGCCUUUUCAACUUACUAGCGAGCAAAUAGGCAACUCAAUUUUUUUGAAUCUUUCGACGUCAUUUUUCUAAAGGAUUAUUAUUUUCCUGCACAACUUGAAGCGAACAAUCUAGAUCAGACCAUUUGUGCGUUUACAUGGAUUGGUUUGUGUAAUUGCUAUGAGUUAAAGUCUAUACCCAUUUUCUUGUUAGGUGCCUAAAACAUUUGUCAUUUUUGUGUAUUAAUUUGUUUCAAGAGAUGCUCAAGUUUGUAUGCUGAGACUUUCAAACUGAUAU